GUGCUCAUGUUGACAGCACAUAUACUAAAAUUGGGAUGAUACAGAAAAGAUUAGCAUGGCCCUGUGCAGAGAUGACAAGCAAAUUCAUGACACAUUUCAUAUUUGU